rnacentral:rRNA from 1 species
GACGAACGCUGGCGGCGUGCUUAACACAUGCAAGUCGAACGGAAAGGCCCCGCUCUUGCGGGGUGCUCGAGUGGCGAACGGGUGAGUAACACGUGAGUAACCUGCCCUUGACUUUGGGAUAACUUCAGGAAACUGCGGCUAAUACCGGAUAGGAGCUCCUGCUGCAUGGUGGGGGCUGGAAAGUUUCGGCGGUUGGGGAUGGACUCGCGGCUUAUCAGCUUGUUGGUGGGGUAGUGGCUUACCAAGGCUUUGACGGGUAGCCGGCCUGAGAGGGUGACCGGCCACAUUGGGACUGAGAUACGGCCCAGACUCCUACGGGAGGCAGCAGUGGGGAAUAUUGCACAAUGGGCGGAAGCCUGAUGCAGCAACGCGGCGUGCGGGAUGACGGCCUUCGGGUUGUAAACCGCUUUCGCCUGUGACGAAGCGUGAGUGACGGUAAUGGGUAAAGAGGCACCGGCUAACUACGUG